rnacentral:rRNA from 1 species
GUCGAGCGCAGAAGGGAGCUUGCUCCCGGAUGUUAGCGGCGGACGGGUGAGUAACACGUGGGUAACCUGCCUGUAAGACUGGGAUAACUCCGGGAAACCGGAGCUAAUACCGGAUAGUUCCUUGAACCGCAUGGUUCAAGGAUGAAAGACGGUUUCGGCUGUCACUUACAGAUGGACCCGCGGCGCAUUAGCUAGUUGGUGGGGUAAUGGCUCACCAAGGCGACGAUGCGUAGCCGACCUGAGAGGGUGAUCGGCCACACUGGGACUGAGACACGGCCCAGACUCCUACGGGAGGCAGCAGUAGGGAAUCUUCCGCAAUGGACGAAAGUCUGACGGAGCAACGCCGCGUGAGUGAUGAAGGUUUUCGGAUCGUAAAGCUCUGUUGUUAGGGAAGAACAAGUGCGAGAGUAACUGCUCGCACCUUGACGGUACCUAACCAGAAAGCCACGGCUAACUACGUGCCAGCAGCCGCGGUAAUACGUAGGUGGCAAGCGUUGUCCGGAAUUAUUGGGCGUAAAGGGCUCGCAGGCGGUUUCUUAAGUCUGAUGUGAAAGCCCCCGGCUCAACCGGGGAGGGUCAUUGGAAACUGGGAAACUUGAGUGCAGAAGAGGAGAGUGGAAUUCCACGUGUAGCGGUGAAAUGCGUAGAGAUGUGGAGGAACACCAGUGGCGAAGGCGACUCUCUGGUCUGUAACUGACGCUGAGGAGCGAAAGCGUGGGGAGCGAACAGGAUUAGAUACCCUGGUAGUCCACGCCGUAAACGAUGAGUGCUAAGUGUUAGGGGGUUUCCGCCCCUUAGUGCUGCAGCUAACGCAUUAAGCACUCCGCCUGGGGAGUACGGUCGCAAGACUGAAACUCAAAGGAAUUGACGGGGGG